rnacentral:lncRNA from 1 species
UUUAAUUGUUUGCUUUAAUUUCUUGAAUCUCUUUCUAAGUUGUCAUAUUAUAAAUCCUUUUGGUGGUACUGUUUUCUUUCAAUUAAAUUUGUUUCUUGCUUUUGUUCCUUGACCUCUCUUUUUGGGUGCUGGAAUUUAAUUUCUCCCUUGGUGCUUAUGUGCAUGGAAUUUGACUUGGUUUAAGGUUUAGCCCUUGUGAAUAGGUGCUGGAAAUUGGAGAAUUAAAGCCAACAUUCUAAGGAGGAGACAAAGCCAAAGCCGAAACAAGCUUUCUUGAAACAAAC